GCUGGAGAUCCUUGUUGUACCUGAGGCCUUCUGGUGGGUUUCCAAAUGGAAAAUGGUGGCUAUCAGCAUGGGUCUUCCAGAGCUCAUCUGCACAGCUCACUGAUCUUCAUUUGCAGGAGGUCUUUGCACCUGACUUUGCCUGUUUGAUGUGCUAUGGUGUUAUUUCCAGCUAUCAGGGAAAGACAAGGCUUUCAAGGGCUGACCUAGUUGAGUUUGCAGGAUCCUAAGGGUUUUGUCUGGAGCUAAAGCAAAUCCCAUUUAGGACCAAGGAAAUACAUCCUUUCAAGAGACCAAGUGAAACUGCCCACAGACAGAGGUCUCUCCUCCCUCGCUUCCAUGCCCACCCCUUGUCUUGGUGCAGCUGUGGUGAUGUUUUACUUGGGCUGGUUGUUAACGCUGAUGUUAAAGACAUCCCUGAUGGCACAACGACAAGGCUGGGUGUUAGGGUUAAUGCUGGGUGUUUUUUGUCCUUGUGCAUCUGACAGUACUAUGCGGGAGCUUUGGGCUUCGUAUGCAGAGCCCUUGAGACCAGAAAGUUACAAAAGCAUCCUUGGGGACCAGCUGCUGGGUGUGAUUUUUCUGUCGACUGUUGGCCUUCCAGAUGUAGGCUCUGUCCAUCUGCCCCAGCUUGCAAAAAUACUCCACCUUGGCAUCAGUGCCAGUGUUCCACUGUGGUGGGGGGAUCUCAUUGCUCCCUUCCUGCUGGAAUCAACUGAAAUUCAAGACCACCCCAGGCUCAGUGAUGACUCGAUCGUGCCAUUUGAUCUCCUGGGGCUCCCUUGAGGAUGGUUCUUGCUCCUUCAGUUCCUGUAGGUUACCUGAUGCAGAAAAAGUACUAUUUAGUGCCCAUAGCUAACGCAUCAUGAUGACAAAAGAGCCCAAGUGUAGUUGGCUGCAAGCCUGCCCACAGCUUUGCAGGGAUAAGAGGUAGAAGAUCAGUCUACCACUUGUUUAGAGCCUCAGGGUGCUGCUUCAUUCCCAUGCAUCACCAAGUGAUUGGCAGAGAUCCAUACGGACAUCCAUCUACCCCACUGGGCUUCAUCUCAUUAGGGAGCCAAAUGUGGCAUUGCCUUACCUCAAUAGCAAGAACUCACAUUUGGGUAGGCUGGCAUGGCUGGUCUGGCAGGCCCAUCUGUGCAUAAAGGUGGUAUUUUAUUAUUAUAACUAUUAGUGACCAAAAGCCUGCCGUGGAAGUAGGGGUUGGUCAAAGGAUGUCAUCCUUCCACUUGGGACAAUUGCCCACAGCAAGCAGCCUUUGCAUCGCGGCAGAGCAGAGAUGUCUGUGCUGGAUCUAACCUGGGAUCUAACGUGCCUCGCUGGGGUCUCCAUUCUGCACAGUAUGUACAUUGCUGCCGUCUUCUCCUUUUGAAGAUAUUUUUUAAUGUCUUAAAAAAAAAAAAAAGAUUACUUUGUUACAAUCAUUCAGCAAAGGGUUUCUGCGCCUGUAGAAAAUAUUAAUAGACUAUUAUGAGGUCCUACAACUAAUUUUUCCACACAUAUCAUCUGUCUUUGCAUGGUUAUUAAACUCCAACAAUAUUUCAUGCAAUGCUUUCCUGCUAAAUUAAUUUGGUUUCUUCUUCUCCUGCUUCUUUUUUUUUUUUCCUCCUUCCACAACCUUUAAAAUUAAAUUGAAUCUUCAU